CACAGUCGAGUCAAAUUGAGCCCCCAUCCCCAUCAUGGCAGGAACUGACCAAAUGGCCACAGCAAGGCCUGCAGCUCAUGGGCCCCGGGCCCCAGGACCUGGGGUUAAGUACAGCUGCAGAAAGGG